ACACCGGGUAUUUCGGACUCUCCGCUGUGUGUUUCUCCGGCCCUCACACUGGGUAUUUCGGACCCUCACACCGGGUAUUUCGGACCCUCACACCGGGUAUUUCGGACUCUACGCUGUGUGUUUCUCCGGCCCUCACACUGGGUAUUUCGGACCCUCACACCGGGUAUUUCGGACCCUCACACCGGGUAUUUCGGACUCUGUGAUAACGUGUCUAUUUUCUAUCAGCCUGUGUAUUAUCAGCACUCAUGUCGCUUUACCCCCAGUAUUAUAACUGUACUCUGAAUUCAGUGUGUGGGAGGUUCUCCCUCUCUAUC